AUUGAACGCUGGCGGCAGGCCUAACACAUGCAAGUCGAGCGGGGCGGCGGACGGGUGAGUAAUGCCUAGGAAUCUGCCUGGUAGUGGGGGAUCAAUUACUGACACGGGCGCUAAUACCGCCUACUUGCCGAUGCGCCUAGGCGGGCUUAGCUAGUUGGUGGGGUAAAGGCCUACCAAGGCGACGAUCCGUAACUGGUCUGAGAGGAUGAUCAGUCACACUGGAAAGGAGACACGGUCCAGACUCCUACGGGAGGCAGCAGUGGGGAAUAUUGGACAAUGGGCGAAAGCCGGAGCCAGCCAUGCCGCGGGUGUGAAGAAGGUCUUCGGAUUGUAAAGCACUUUAAGUUGGGAGGCGUUACCAACAGAAUAAGCACCGGCUAACUUCGUGCCAGCAGCCGCGGUAAUAC
rnacentral:rRNA from 1 species